rnacentral:misc_RNA from 1 species
CAACAAUAGUUUAAUCUUUUUGGUAAAAAAAGGGAAAAGACAGAGAAAUUAACAGCCCCUUUUUCAUGUUGGCACUACUCUCCAACUCUGUCUCCACCCCUUUUCAUAUCUCUGUAUAAUAUGAAAAAAAAUUCAUAGAUAUAGUGACCCUUUAACUUCCAAUCCCUUGAUCUUGAUUAGGAAUUAGGAGCAAUGAAGAAUAGACAUACUGUUAAAGUUUCUGUAAAAUGGAUACCUAUUUUCUCAAUUGCUUUCUUCUUUAUUGGGAUGUUGUUCUCUAACAGAUGGUGGUCUCCAACUGAAUCUGGGAGUCAGCUUAUAGCUCAGCAUAGAAGGGACCAAGAACUUCAAG